rnacentral:rRNA from 1 species
GUUUGACCUCGGAUCAGGUAGGGUUACCCGCUGAACUUAAGCAUAUCAAUAAGCGGAGGAAAAGAAACCAACAGGGAUUGC